UUGCUACCAUGUUUGAGUAGAUUUUUAUAGGGUUUGAAACAAUAACGACUGGUAAAAUUCACAUGAGACUGUUUAAUUAAUUGUUGUAAUGAGAAUAAAGUAUCGUUUAUAGUUUCCAAUUUUAAUUAUUAAACUUCCUACGAAAGUAGAAGUAUAGAGAUACCGAUUAUGACUCAAAAUUGUGUAAUUGAUAUCCGACUAGGAAAUUCAAACCCUUUAAGUUUUAGGUAGCGAAA
rnacentral:lncRNA from 1 species